rnacentral:tRNA from 1 species
GGGAUCGGGUGGCUGGACGCGGUCGUGCCGUUCGGUUCGGUGUACCGGCCGGUCUGGUUGGGGCUGGGGGCGGUGGCGUUCGACCUGCUGCUGGCACUG